AGUGAACGCUGGCGGUAGGCCUAACACAUGCAAGUCGAACGGCAGCACAGUAAGAUCUUGCUCUUACGGGUGGCGAGGGGCGGGCGGGUGAGGCAUACAUCAGAAUCUACUUUUUCGUGGGGGACAACGUGGGGAAACUUACGCUAAUAGCGCAUACGAUCUACGGGAGGAAUCAGUAGAGCUUCGCACCUUUCCCGACUGAAUGAGCCGAUGCCGGAUUAGCUAGUUGGCGGGGUAAAGGCUCACCAAGGCAACGAUCCGUAGCUGGUCUGAGAGGAUGAUCGGCCACACUGGAACUGAGACACAGUCCAGACUCCUACGGGAGGCAGCAGUAGGGAAUCUUGGACAAUGGGCGCAAGCCUGAUGCAGCAAUGCCGCGUGGGUGAAGAAGGUCUUCGGGUUGUAAAGCCCUGUUGUUGGGAAAGAAAAGCAGCAUGUGAAUACACCGCUGUUCUGACGGUACCUAAAGAAUAAGCACCGGCUAACUUCGUG
rnacentral:rRNA from 1 species